rnacentral:piRNA from 1 species
UGCCAUCAAGAAGAGGCUGAAACCUA